GAUGAACGCUGGCGGCGUGCUUAACACAUGCAAGUCGAACGGAAAGGCCCUGCUUUUGUGGGGUGCUCGAGUGGCGAACGGGUGAGUAUCACGUGAGUAACCUGCCCUUGACUUUGGGAUAACUUCAGGAAACUGGGGCUAAUACCGGAUAGGAGCUCCUGCUGCAUGGUGGGGGUUGGAAAGUUUCGGCGGUUGAGGUUGGACUCGCGGCUUAUCGGCUUGUUGGUGGGGUAGUGGCUUACCCAGGCUUUGACGGGUAGCCGCCUGGGCGGGGGGCCGGGCACAAUGGGACUGAGAGAGGGCCCAGACUCCUACGGGAGGCAGCAGUCGGGAAUAUUGCACAGUGAGCGGGAGCGUGAUGCAGCAGCCCCGCGUGCGGAAAGACGGCCUUCGGGUUGUGAACCGCUUUCGCCUGUGACGAAGCGGGAGUGACGGUAAUGGGUAAAGAAGCACCGGCUAACUACGUG
rnacentral:rRNA from 1 species